rnacentral:rRNA from 1 species
GAUGAACGCUGGCGGCGUGCCUAAUACAUGCAAGUCGAACGCUUUGUGGUUCAACUGAUUUGAAGAGCUUGCUCAGAUAUGACGAUGGACAUUGCAAAGAGUGGUGAACGGGUGAGUAACACGUGGGAAACCUACCUCUUAGCAGGGGAUAACAUUUGGAAACAGAUGCUAAUACCGUAUAACAAUGACAACCGCAUGGUUGUUAUUUAAAAGAUGGUUCUGCUAUCACUAAGAGAUGGUCCCGCGGUGCAUUAGCUAGUUGGUAAGGUAAUGGCUUACCAAGGCGAUGAUGCAUAGCCGAGUUGAGAGACUGAUCGGCCACAAUGGGACUGAGACACGGCCCAUACUCCUACGGGAGGCAGCAGUAGGGAAUCUUCCACAAUGGGCGAAAGCCUGAUGGAGCAACGCCGCGUGUGUGAUGAAGGGUUUCGGCUCGUAAAACACUGUUGUAAGAGAAGAAUGACAUUGAGAGUAACUGUUCAAUGUGUGACGGUAUCUUACCAGAAAGGAACGGCUAAAUACGUGCCAGCAGCCGCGGUAAUACGUAUGUUCCAAGCGUUAUCCGGAUUUAUUGGGCGUAAAGCGAGCGCAGACGGUUAUUUAAGUCUGAAGUGAAAGCCCUCAGCUCAACUGAGGAAUUGCUUUGGAAACUGGAUGACUUGAGUGCAGUAGAGGAAAGUGGAACUCCAUGUGUAGCGGUGAAAUGCGUAGAUAUAUGGAAGAACACCAGUGGCGAAGGCGGCUUUCUGGACUGUAACUGACGUUGAGGCUCGAAAGUGUGGGUAGCAAACAGGAUUAGAUACCCUGGUAGUCCACACCGUAAACGAUGAGUGCUAGGUGUUUGAGGGUUUCCGCCCUUAAGUGCCGCAGCUAACGCAUUAAGCACUCCGCCUGGGGAGUACGACCGCAAGGUUGAAACUCAAAGGAAUUGACGGGGACCCGCACAAGCGGUGGAGCAUGUGGUUUAAUUCGAAGCAACGCGAAGAACCUUACCAGGUCUUGACAUCCCUUGACAACUCCAGAGAUGGAGCGUUCCCUUCGGGGACAAGGUGACAGGUGGUGCAUGGUUGUCGUCAGCUCGUGUCGUGAGAUGUUGGGUUAAGUCCCGCAACGAGCGCAACCCUUAUUACUAGUUGCCAGCAUUCAGUUGGGCACUCUAGUGAGACUGCCGGUGACAAACCGGAGGAAGGUGGGGAUGACGUCAAAUCAUCAUGCCCCUUAUGACCUGGGCUACACACGUGCUACAAUGGCGUAUACAACGAGUUGCCAACCCGCGAGGGUGAGCUAAUCUCUUAAAGUACGUCUCAGUUCGGAUUGUAGGCUGCAACUCGCCUACAUGAAGUCGGAAUCGCUAGUAAUCGCGGAUCAGCACGCCGCGGUGAAUACGUUCCCGGGUCUUGUACACACCGCCCGUCACACCAUGAGAGUUUGUAACACCCAAAGCCGGUGGGGUAACCUUCGGGAGCCAGCCGUCUAAGGUGGGACAGAUGAUUAUGGUG